GAUUACUUGCUCAAUCCGAAGAAGGUAUAUAACCAUUUUCUUUCUUAUUUGUAUCCUUGUUAACUUAGUAUUUGGAAAUUGGUUUGUUCUGCAACUAGAUAGAUCAAAUUGUUGGAGUAGAUUCUGUGGUGAGUGGAGAAAUUUUUGUAUUUCUAUUGGUUGCUAAUGAUGGGAAGUUUUACGUGGUAGCAAGCUUUAUGUUUGAAGUUUGGUUGUCUAGGAUUCCCUUUCCCUAUAACAUGGUUAAUAUUAGUGCAACAAAUUUGAUUUCCAUAUUGAUUGAUGGGUUUGUUCAAGAUAUUUGCUUUCAUUAUGUUGAUUUUUUAGGGGCACCACCGCCACAGCCAAGAAGCUUAACAAAUGGUGUAAAUGGACAUUACCAAGUUACCCUUCUCAAUUUAUGCUCUGUUUUUUUCUCCAAAAAAAAAAAAAAGGCUCUGUUUUAUUCAUUCAGCUUAUCAUCUGUUCAUUGUUCAUCUUCCCCUAUUAAUUUCUUAACCCUUCUCUAUUUCUUUCUCUCUCCUCACAACAUGUACCUCUGUUUUUUCUUCUUUUCAGAAUCAUUAGGUAUUUGCCUAAUUCUUUUCAAAGAAAGAUGAUGUGGACUAAAUUUAGAUCCAUUUUUUUGCAAGUUGAGUUAAAUAACUCAAUCUUGAGUCUUGAGUUUUGAUCAUCUAUUGGUGUAGUCAAGACCAAAAAGACAUAAAACAAGGUCAUUAGGAAAAGAGAAAUAAGUUUCAACUUUUGAUUAGUCAUCUUGAAUAAAUGAAAAUAUAAGAUGGUUAACGAAGAAUUGAUAAUUGACCUAGAAGUAUUACACAUUUUUUGGAUUUAACCCAAAAUUGUUUAUAGUAGAGAAAGAGAGUCCAUAUAGCCGACCCUAAAUUUU
rnacentral:misc_RNA from 1 species